ensembl:lncRNA
GGCCAGGCUCAGCUACUGCAACACAUUCAAACCACCGAAAUCGGACACUAAAUUACCGAAUGGCUUGUUUCUUAAACCACGUGAAUAACAGAUUAAUCUAGUAAAAUGUUGUUACAUUGUAGUAUUUCCUGUAAGUGGCCACCCCUAACAGUAGACUCUGUGAAGCCUACUUAGUUUGACCCGGUUUGAUCUUUAGAUGGCCAUCUACUAGACCAGUACCGUCUGUACAUGCCGGUUGCUGUACCACGGCCGUCCAGGUGAUGCUGGUGGUCGAAAAGGAGGACUAGGAAAACAGCCGACAAACAAAAUACACGGUUAAUUACAAAGUAUUUUUCAAAGUAAACCUGCAAACUUCUCAGGACUUGCUGCCAGCUGUGAAGAAGAAAUUGCUGUUCUGGGAGCAACCCAAUUAAACUACGAAGAAGAAACUGCAAACUCUUGUCCACUGCAUCCGUCCGUCAACGGACGACGGAAGGCGUGUCUGACGGAUGGGGGAGUGGUAUUUGCAGACGGAGCCACGAUCUGAUGGAUCCGUUGCAGCCUGAAAAGUUAAAAUUUUCUCUACCUCUGAAUGCAAGAGACGGAACGGACCGACCGACAAUGCAUUUCAGGAUCGCCCCAUGCAAAGUCAAUGAGAUCCGUCAACGGACGGAUGCAGUGGGCAAGGGGUGUAAGUCUCUGCCAGAUUGUCUUAAAAGCAAGCAAAGCUCUCUUGUACUAUUUCCCGGAUUGCCUCCUUGGCUUCAACCCUGCUUGUUCCUGACCCGUCCUUGUCGUCCCUGCCCUGGUAACCUGAACCGCCUUCUGUCCCUGACCCCUCUGCCUGCUCGCCCCUUGUCUGUCCCCAGUUAGCUUGGAUUCCCUGUUUGGAAAAUAAAGCUGUUGAACUGUUCCAACGCUGUUCUCAGUCUGUGCUGUUCUUGGGUCCAACCCCACGCCCCAUUACA